CAAGGAAAUGAGAUGUCACACGACAUAUACAAUAAUUACUUCCAAACAGUACAUAAACUCUCCAAAACCCGAAAUAUCAUAAGUCACAAGCUAAAGAAAGAAACAAUACCCCCAUACUCCAGAGUCUAAUAAAAGAAGAAAAUACUAGAAGGGUUAAAAUGGGGUGGAAUACAUAUGGACUUCGAGGUCUACGGACGCGACAGAUAUACCUUGAAGUCUCAUGAAGCAACAACAACACAGCUAUACUCGAGUCUGAUAGCUAGUACCUGGAUCUGCACACGAAAAAUAUGUGCAGGAAAGGACAUGAGUACACCACAAUGGUACCUAGUAAGUGCCAAGCCUGACCUCGAUCGAGUAGUGACGAGAUCAGGUCAGGGCUCUACUGGUAUAAAUAUAAUGAAAUAAGAUAGAAAACAAGUAUUACAAUAAAAUAAGUACUGAAAUCUAACAGGAAUAAAAUUCAAUAAAAGCCAACAACUCAGAACACAGUUAUAGCAAUAGGGGAUCUCCCAGGAUACCGUCCCGUAGUCCCAAACGUAAAUGUGCAGGGGGAUCUCGCGGAAUACCGUUCUAUAGUCCCAAGUAAAUAUACAGUGCUGGGAGAUCUCCCGAAAUACCGUUCCAUAGUCCCAAAGUAAAUAUGAGGUACGCGGGGAUCUCCCAGAAUACCAUUUUGUAGUCCCAAAGUAAAUAUGCAGCUCAACCAAACAGAGAUAACAGUUACAGUAGGAAAACACAAUUUAGGCUAAGUCCGAGUCAAGGAAGAACAGGAAAUUUCACUAAAACAUGUUGCGCAGAAUUCAGAUAGGCAGUUAAGACAGUUAAGGCACGUAGACAUGCUUUUCUAAACUAAACAGGAUAGUUACAUAUGCUAAUGUUGCUCAAUUAAAGGAAAAGAAAUAUUUGCUUAAUAAAAAUGGGGUUUUUCAACAAAUAGACCAUGUUCACACUCGUCACCUCACGUACACGACACUCAUAUAUCAAACAGUACUAAAUCCUAAGUAGAGUUUCCCCACACAAGAUUAGGCAAGUCACUUACCUCGAACCAAGUUCAAAUCAAUCUGAAAUAAUGCUCUUUCCACGAAUAUCCGGCUCUGAAUGACUCAAAUCUAGACAAAUCAAUUACAUAACGUAAAUAUAGCUACAAACAACUAAUUUAGCUAAUAAAAUCAAAGCUAAGACAAGAAAAUAGAAAACUCCCAAAAAUUCUCGCCGGACCCAUGUCUCGAAAUCAGGUAAAAGACACAAAUUACGAAUACUCAUUCACUCACGAGAUCACUCGUACCAAAAUUAUCCAAAUCCGAUGUUAAAAUUUCACUCAAAACUCAAAAAUUCGAUUGGGGAACUUUUCCCCCAUUUUCCCAACUUUCUCACUCAAAUUCCUUGAUUAAUGAAGAAAACAACAAUAGAUUAAUGAGAUGCAACCAAAAUCGAGUUAGGAAUAGUUACCCAGUAGCUCACCUGCAAAAACUCUCAAAAAUUUGCCAUCCACCGAGCUCCAAAUCGAAUUUUGUGAUAUGAACUUCAAAUCCUCGAAAAUCCCCUUUCUGCCUAGUGAUCUCCGCUUCUGCGAGGGGUCCACCGCAUCUACGGUCCCGCACCUUCGGAAUUCCCAUUGCAGGUGCGGAUUUCACUAAAAACUCGGUGCCAGCUUCUGUGAUCAAAAGGUCAUACCUACGCGUGCGCACCUGCGGACCCAUGUCUGCUUCUACUGUUCUAUACCGCUCUUGCGGUCUCUCUAGUGCAUAUACGGGCAUCGCAGAUGCAGAAUUCACCUUGCACCUGCGACCCCUGUACACUCCUUCCAAAUCUGCUUCUACACUUAAUCUUCCGCACGUGCGGUCCCGUACCUGCGGCCUCCCCACCACAGGUGUGAAAACACCAGAAAUCUGAAGACUUCAGCAAUAACAUAAAUUCCAAUCUUGAUCGGUUAAGUACCCAAAACUCACCCGAGCCCCCCGGACCUCAACCAAACAUACCAACAAUUCCUAAAACACCAUACAAACUUAGUCGAUCUCUCAAACCACAUCAAACAACGUUAAAAUCACGAAUCACCCUCCAAUUCAAACUUAAAGAACUUGAAACUUUAAAUUUCUACAACCGAUGCCAAAACCUAUCAAACCAUGUCCGAUUGGUCCCAAAUUUUGCACACAAGUCAUAAUAAACAUUACGGGCCUAUUCCAACUUCCGGAAUCGGAUUCGUACCCCGAUAUCAAAAAUUUCAUUACCGGCCCAAAACUCCAAAAAUUCGACUUUUGCCAUUUCAAGUCUAAAUGAGCUACGGACCUCCAAAACACAAUCUGGACAUAUCCCUAAGCCCAAAAUCACCCAACGGAGCUAACGAAAUUGACGAAACUCUAUUCCGAAGUCGUCUUUAUACUGUUCUGAUUAUGGUCCAAAUUCUAAGACCCAAAACACUCCGAAACUCAAAACGAAUCAUCCCAGCAAUCCAUAAGAGCAGAAAAGAUAUGGGGAAAGCAGUUAAUAGGGGAUUGGGGCUCUAACUCUCAAAAUGACCGGCCAGGUCGUUACAUUUGUGGUAAGGUCAUUAUCUAUGGAAAGUUCUUUGUCAGAUCAGUUAUUAGAUUUAUUGGCAUAUUCACUCACUUGACUAAAUGAGAGAAAAUCAGACAAAUUAAUUUAUAUGAAGUGGGUUAAUUGCAAUUAUGUUAAGAGACUAAGUCGGUCAUGAAAGGAAAAUGAGCCAACCACGUUUGGAAAAAAAAUAAAGAUGAUUGUAUUCCAAAAAUUUCAAUAACACUUUGGCUAUGUUGGGCAGGUAUAAGCGGACAUGAAUCAAGUAUGGGGUAAAAUACUACAAGGAUAAAUGAUAUCUAAAUAGGGUUUCGCACAAAAGCCUAGUUGUGUGAGGUUGUCCUGUUGCUGACUUCCCUGUGAAGUCUGGGCAUGAAUGAAUGGGCCUGGCCUCUAUCACGGCCAUGAUUUUUCAAUACUCCAUUAUCAAUUUCAUCAAGAAAAAAAAAUCAUAAGAGCAAGAAAUCAUAUAAAUUCCUACUUAACUUCAAUUGAACUUAGUUAUACAUGAACAUCAUAUUAUCACAUAUCAAACAUAAAUAAAGAUUCGUAGAUCCAUUAAGCUAUAUAUUAUAAAUCCUAAUCUACUUGGUUCAUUAGUGGUCAUUUACUGAUUCCAGCUUUGGCAGUAAAGUUGUGCAAAAAGUAUCACCAUUUUUUCAAACUUCAAAUCUCAAAAGUUAUUACUCAAGUAAUCCACCUAAAACUCUUUUAAACAGAUUCCAGAAAAACAAAGUGGUUUCCAGAUCUAAAUCCUCAUGCUUUUACCUUAACCUUCAAAUUAAAGAAAUCUUUAUUAGGCAACCUCAAGUCCAUUUCUUCAUAUAUAGCGUAAAACGAUACAAUCUCCAAUAAGAAAGCAAUAAAAUUAAGACACCGGUUUUCUAAUGGCUAACAUACAUUAGAUCAAAUACAUGUCGAUUUAGCCAUAGCUAACAAGUAAAUUUUCAUUUAUGACUUAAAUACAAAGAAAUCACCACAGAUAGGCUAGAUUUGGAUCAUUUUCAUCUAAAAUAAAUUGCACAAAAAGAAAAUAGUGAAGCAUGAAUAUUCAUGGGGAUUAUGAAGGAUCGGCAGGAUCUCAAGCUUUAAAGCAUUACAAACCAAUUAACAGAAAAAUUCAUACACCAAAACUCGACUUCACUACCGGCAAUCAUAUCAUCAUGAAAAUUUCAUUCAUUUCAUAAGUUCAUAAGGAGUAGGCAAAAUACCUGGAAAAGAUGAAUACAAAGAAAGGAUUAGAGCCCAAUAGAGCUGAAAACUCCAUAGAGAAAAAUCAGCUACAGAGCAAGCAAUAGGUACAACCAAACAUGCCAGAAAAAGAACAGCUUCAAAUAUGCACCCAGAAAUUCUAACAAGGACUCGAAAAGCUGAGGAACCUCUUCUUUUUUGAAGUUUUCUUGAGAAUAUUUUUUCAGAUUCUUAGCUUUUGUAAGUAUUCUAUGUGUGUAAAGAUGUAGAGAUCAAAAGAUGCUUAAUAUGAAGGUGUAUGUGAGUUUUUAUGGAUAAAAAUCAGAGCCUGGCAAAAGAAUCUGUUAGCCUCCCCCCCCCCCCCCCCCCCCCCCCCCCACCCCACACAAAANNNNNNNNNNNNNNNNNNNNNNNNNNNNNNNNNNNNNNNNNNNNNNNNNNNNNNNNNNNNNNNNNNNNNNNNNNNNNNNNNNNNNNNNNNNNNNNNNNNNNNNNNNNNNNNNNNNNNNNNNNNNNNNNNNNNNNNNNNNNNNNNNNNNNNNNNNNNNNNNNNNNNNNNNNNNNNNNNNNNNNNNNNNNNNNNNNNNNNNNNNNNNNNNNNNNNNNNNNNNNNNNNNNNNNNNNNNNNNNNNNNNNNNNNNNNNNNNNNNNNNNNNCUAAAUUAUUUUCAAAUUUAGAAAGAGAUCAUUCUUUUUGGAACGAACUAAAAAGGAAAUAAGUUCACAUAAACUGGAACGGAGAAAGUAACAAUUAAUUAAUCUAAAUUGAUAUUAGGCUAUCAAGUAUGAAUUAAUCACAAUCAGCAAACUAGUUGACCUAUCAGUUAAGCACAUGCGUAAUUAAAACCAUAACCUAAUUAAUCGAUUAAAUUUCAAGUAGAACUAAAUCAAAUAAUUAUUCAGAAAGCUAAAACAUUUUCAAUUAUUAACCUAAGCAUGUUGUAAAACAAAUAAUUGAAAAACUAAGACAUAGAUUUAGCAACUCUAAGGAAUGAAGAAAAGAAGUAGGGGAUUACCAUGUGAAACACUGUUGACCGAAAAGAAAAGAAUUCCGGACGAUGAUCGACAUCGCCAUAAAAGCAAUGGCUUACGCUUGAGGGUGUAACUAACGCUGUAUGCGACGAUGUUAGCCAUAAUCCGGUCAACAUCAAAGGACUAUCAAAAGUUCUGGCUGGUCAAUGGUAAAGUGACCGGCAGCCGGCGACCUUGAAACGAGACAAAACCAACGGCAACCUAUAAUACUAAAUGAGAGAAGUCGAUUGGUGUUGGUUUUAAGUCCAAACAAACUGGGAUUUGAGAAAAAAAUUGAAAAGAGGUGGAUUUAGGUUUAGGAUUUCCUAGAUUUAAAGAUUAAGAGAUUCUGGAGGUUUUUGAAAGAAAUAAUGGAGGGAUAUGGGAUGAGAAGGAUGUGGGGAUUCUGUGAUGAAGAUUUUGAGGAGAUUGAGGUUGUUUGAAGCGGUAUCGCCGGCAAAGGGUCUUGGGGCGGCUAGGGUUUGGGAGGGGAUUUGGGAGAGAUGACACUACUAAAAAAAUCAAGUUUUAGCGACAGAUAAAUUCUAUAGCUAAAUAGAAAAAUCCGUCGCUAAUCUCAUUUAGCGACAAAUUAGCAACAUAUUAUCAAAAGAUUCUGCUAGCUACCAGCAUUUUAGAGACAGAUUAGCAACGACGUUCGUAGCUAAUUCUAGUUUUUUUUUGUAGUGUGAAGGAGAUGAGAGUGAAGUAUUUGCUUAGGAUUUGGGGGG
rnacentral:lncRNA from 1 species